UUUCAACAUUCCAAUGUGUUGAAACGACCACCAAACAAAUCCACAAUGUUACGCAUCUCAUUCCCAACCUGAAACAAAAGCGGUGUGUGCUGUGAAACUGCAACAAAAGGCAAAACCACCCAACACCAUUGCCAGAAGACCCUCCACCAGUGCACAUCGGAAAUAAGAAAACAAUGCACUUAUUCCUCAAUUGUUAGACCCAGAGAGUAGUAUUAAUAGUAGUCGCAGAACCAGCAGCAGUAGUGGUGGUAUUGAUUUUUGUGCUUUUAGGGCAUCACAAUGGCAUGGAGUCAGUGCAGGUGGGGGAGCUCAGAGUGAUGGCGAUGGCGAUGAAGCGUGGAUCAUCGUUGCAGCCAGUUCAUGGCAUGUUGGCCCAUCUGAUUGUGGGGGUAUAUGUGUGUGUGGGAGUUCCUUCCAACUAACUGCUGGAGCUGUGCAGUGGGCAAUUGCCGUGUCGGGACGGCAGAUCAGAACACCCAGGCUGACCUGCCCUGGAGGGACUAGGCUGUGCCCCUCCCUGCGCACGUCUUGUCGCCCGUUAGCACAUCGAUCGACCCGUCAUAGUCCUUGGCCUUCAUGGAGGGGAUGUGAGUGCAAAUAUGGGUUUGGAUUCUCUUGGGAUCAAGAGGGUGCAAGCUGGGGCUGAAGGUGUUUCUGAGCCCUCAGUUUGGGGUUUGAGGCGCUUGGAGUCGGCCAGGAGCUGUGCCAGAGCGCAGCGAGCAAGGACAGAGCCACUUUCCGCAGAGGGGAGGAUUUGCUGCACUGGACGACGAAGAAACGGUUGCUUGCAUUGAAGAGGAGCCACUCCCUACAAACAGCGAAAUCCUGAUAAUUGGGGUGCUAGGUUCUGACAGGGACAGAGUGCCGACCAGUCGCAGUCGGCAACGGGGAGCAGUACAGGAGAACAAAAGAUGCCGAGGGCGUGGUUGUGUGCACCCUGAGAAGUGUGCAGUACUGAAAGACAGCCAUGUAAAUUAUGUGCAUGAGUUUGUUUAUUCUCACUUGACCAGAAACAAGAGUCUGCAUGUCUUGAAUGAAUCGUCCCGACGCAACGCGAUUGUUUCGUUUGUGCAGUCGUCGCCAUCCAUCCACAAAGUGAACAUCUUCAUAGGCGUCGAGAAACAGCUUAUACGUGCUGAGCAUUUAGAGCGCAUCCAGAAACAUAUAUCGCCAGGGAAUCCGCAACGUGAGCAAAUGGCUGUCACUGGGCUGGGGAGGGAGGAGGAGGUUUCAGCGAGAGCAGCAGGAGUGAGCACUUCGAAGUCCCUUACUGCUCGAUCUGUUAUGCGUUAAAUUUCCCGAAAGGUCCACUAAGGAACCCAUGGACUUUUCGCGACUGACUUCACGUAUCAAGAGGUUCCAGAGAGCUUCUACAAAAAAUUCAGGCUGGUACCGAAUUCGUUUUGUGUAACAUACACUUUUCCCCCUAAACGCCGCAAAACUUAGCGCACAGCACCGAACAUGUACAUUAAACUCCUAAUGGAUUUCCCAUGUGACAUGUGGAAUUUUUCCUGAAGGUUGAUCCUAUUUAUGAAUCGUCCUUCUCCCUAUGAUCCAACUGUGGUACCGAGUCAACAUGAAAUAACUGAUUCUUCGUACUAAACAUGAAUCAUUAGAAACGAUCCACAGUUCUACCGCAGACUUGGCAGUCAUAAUGUAAUGCACCUCAGUAGA